CGUGUGUGUUCUCGAACGUACAGGGGCUUCAAGAAGCCAAGCCCUAGUUCUUCAAAAAGCUUCAAAUUAAGGGAUGAUUCAAGGCUCAAAUUCAUGAAUUCUCAUGGAUUAAUGAUCACCAUCACAAGGGGAUCAUAAGGAACGUGUCAAGGAGAGCUCAAGCAUAGGAGGAUAACGGGUCAAGAUAAGGCAAGGUGACAAAUACACUUAUUGGAGUACUCAAGGAAGAAACGUGACGCAAAACGGAUGAAAAAUGAGAGAGUUAUGUCCGUUUCGGUAAGGAUUAAUGGCUAGGAAAAGUGCAGAUUUGACACGGCCGGGUGGUGAACUGACACGGCCGGGUGAAGGUUCUGUCAAAAAUAUUAUUUAUGUGAUUUAUGCGCCGUAGGCUUCGGUAUAUUAUCCGUGAACUACGACGGGCCUCCCAAACAUGAUUUCGAGUGUUUCCUUGACGAUUAUAAGUUGUAAACCCAAGUCUAAGCCUCAUGUAAUUUAUAUAAGAGUGUGAUAGAUGUAUGUAAUGAAGUUGGACAUGUAUUACAUGUAAAUGUAUACAAAAAUACGUACGGAACACGUAGAUAUGAAUACAUGAUUGUAGGUAUGAUUAAAUGUAUAUUAGGUAUGUAGAUGUGUAUGAUUGUAAGUUUGUAUGUGUGCAAGUAUGUGCGAAUGCAUGAUUUGGAUGCAUUUGAGAAAUAGCGUUACUAAUAAUGCCCUUGGGUUUGGAAUAUAAGUUAAUUGGAUGCAUUUAAAUGGUUGACGCCCUUUUUAUGAAGAUGUAGUAAAUGAAUAUGUUGAGAUUACGGGUUUGGCUAACCAAGUUAUUAUUGAGUAUGUUUGAAAGUGCAGGUUAUGAAUGUCGGACUUUCGAAGUGUUGAUAUAAUAAUGAAACGGUUGAAUGUUGAAAGGAUAAUCGGAUUGAAGUAACUUAUGCGGUUAGAAUAUGCUAUGGACGUUUUAGUUUAUACAACAUUUUAUGUUUGGUCGUCAUCAUCUACCAACGGGUAAAUCCUCAAUUCAGGCGACUUGGAGAAUCGGAGCGAGCGCGUGUUCAUGUUAUGUCAUACCAAACGCUUCCGCUAGCUUGUUCAAAUGUUUUCGAUCCAAAAUUUGUUGUAUUGGUUUUUAGUAGUAUCUUGUUGAACGAAUUGUAGAAUUGUAUCUAGUUUGUUUAUGUUUAAAACAGGGGUAUGCUCGUUUUAUGGACGGGUCAUGCCCGAUUUUUGUUAAAUUAUAGUAUGAUAAUAUCACAUUUAGGAAGAUGAAA